AUGACGUUAACAGAUCCCGCAGGUUGCCUCAUUGACAUUGGCAGUGGAUAUUGUAAGCGUCAUCCACCUAGCCGCAUGUUCCAAAUUUUCUCUUUAAAGCUGGCUAAAACUCCUACCGAUGAUAGGCCAAUACAGUUGUAUGGAUACAUAGCAGUGCGAGAUCAUUUGGACCUAUUGCUUAAUUAUGUCGUCAAUUUCCGUAGAGAUGAUCCCAUCAGCGUGGAACAGGGUUCUUCCAUCAGCAUGAUCGGCCCGAAGAGAGGGAUAGAUCUGAGUGGCAACAUUGUAGUCGAAUACGACAUGAGGAUCAAGACAGAAGAAGUAAAGCAUGACCUACAGCUGAUGGAUGGUGCAUCAAUGAUACGCCACAAGGACCUGCAGGAUUGUCGGGCGUUUACGCGUCGUAUCCAUGGCGACCACGGCGCAAUAGACCUCACUGCGUCGGCUCUUGAUGACGCGGUUGAGGCGACCGUGGAAGUCGUCAUAUCGGAAGUGCGGAGCGGCUUCGCUCUGCGCCUCGGGUGUUUCAUUGGCGGUGUGGAUGAGGAGAUCCCAAUCUUCGACGGCGUCGUCGGCAGCGAGGCACAUGGGUUGAAAUUAAAAAGGUUUGUGCUGGCUGUAGCUAUAAGGUAUUGGAUGAAGUUGGAAUUCAAGGUGGCACCGGAGUCGGCGCGGUGUCAGUUUGCCUUCAUGGCGAACAACCAUGGGGUUUCUUGUCGGAAUAUGAAGAUGGAUUUUGCAUUGUUCUCAGUGAAGGUGACAUGGUCGUCUUUGCCUUUGCGGGCACCGAGCUUACACCGGCGGUCCAAGAACUGA
rnacentral:rRNA from 1 species